ensembl:snoRNA SNORA70 Small nucleolar RNA SNORA70
UUGCAGACAAUUAUGCCAACCAAGUUCUUUUCCUCAUGGGGAACUGGUGUGCAAGGCAAGGGCUGCAAACAGUGGCCUCUGCAGUAGUGUAUGCAGCCUACUGCUUGUAUGAGAUUUCCUAAGGGGUCUUGGAGACAACU